rnacentral:lncRNA from 1 species
AUCAGUUUAAAGUUCCUGUGAGGAGUUUUUGAUAGGCUAUGUAAUGGGCUGAAAUAAACAGUAAUGCAACUCUAUGAUGUACAAAAACUAAUGAGACUAAUGAUAAUAAAAUUGACAAUGUCUAUACUAUGAGAGGGGGUGGGUAUGCCAAAAAAAACAGCUGUAGUUACUUUACCUACUGCAAAAUAUUCAAGACGGGUCAUGUAUUUGAUUGUAAAAAGACAAUAAAAGGUGUUUUUUUGUCAGUUAAUAACACUUUCAGACAAAAUCAUCAAUAAUAGGAGUUACUAUUUUGUCCACAGGGGGCGCCAAAGUCAACAGAGACUGAAAGUUCUUCACAGCAGCUUUAAUUAGGAUGAGAAAAUAUUCUGCUUUUUCUAAAAACUCCUAAACAUUUGCUUUUCUGUAUCAUAUAGAAUAUUAACAACGACAUUGAUGUUUUUUUCAAUUCAAUUUUGACAGUGAGAGAAAUUACUGAUCAGUCAUCUGAGUCCGAUUAAGUUAUUCAGUAUGUUUACAUGACACUAGAGAAAACCGAAUUAUUGCCUUACAACCAGACAACUGAAGUGCAUGUAAACACUUUUAGUCUGAUUUUCCGAUUACGACAUCCAGAUAAUGUGAUUGGAAUUCGAUUUUCUCUACCAUGUAACCAGCGUAGUCGAAGUAUGAUAGCACAAUGCUUGUGCGAGUGCGCCACGCCCCCAUAACCAAAACAAAAACACCAGAGAAGAGGAGUAGCGUGCAACUCAUCUGCAGAAAAAGUAGCGUGUACAUCAUGUACGACAAAAUGCCCAGCAGCAGUUGUAGACACUUCUGACGUCUGGCACGGACCCAGAAACAGCGCCGCUAAAAAGACUCAUAUCGCCCCCUAGUUUUGGGGAGGAGGACACAUUCACGUCAAUAAUUCGGUUUUCUCAGCUGCAUGUAUACGCCGACGAGGAGAGAAGUCUGAUUUGGCGGAGAAAAAAAAUUUGAGCUUGGUCUGAUUAAGCUGUGCAUGUAAACGCUCUGAGUGACAUCAAACAUGUCUGACUGAAAAUCGAGUAUUUUUGCAUCUCAAACAAUUUUAAGGAUAUUUCUCAAAAUUUUUCUGAAAAUGCUCUUGUUUUGGUCUCAUAGGGAUAGAGAUCAUGUGAGUUGAGAGACUUAAUUUCCAGUAGCUCCUACAGGAUUGAAAUAUCAUGACCCUAAAUAUCUGAAAAACAGUUAAUUAUACUAUCCCAUCACUCACAGUAAAAACAAAGCAGUUCAAAGGGCCUUCGAGUCAGAUUUUAUUGAACAUACUGCCACACAACUGAAGACUCUGAGGUCCAAAACACAUCAGUGCCACAGCAAAUCUAUCAGGACUCGCUCUGUUAUUACUUCCUGCGUAAACUGUAGAGCUAGAGAGCACUGGCAGGAAUUGAACACCACGUUUGUAGUGCUAAUAAACUCGUCUGUCAGCAACAAAAGCGUACGCCAGAACAAACAAGCACAGAGAGAAGGAUUAAAGUCUUAUCUUUACCAGAGGGUCUCAUUCCAGGCUCAUGUAUAAUCACAGAGAUCUGACAACAGAAAGUCUGUUUUCAUUCCUUCCUAAUAAACCUCAUCGCUGGUCCAAAAUCAAUUUCUAGUGUAUAUUUGUACAGCAGGAAACCACAAAACUUGUGAUUAUCAUAACUGUCUUUCCCUCCUAGUGUGUUUGCUUUACCUUUCUGGAUAAUCACAGAGCUGUUUUUCUUUUGUUUUCCCUCUCCAAAAGACACUGCCCGUUCACGUCUUCCUUUUAUCUGCUCUGGUUUACACAUGAAUGAAGCUGGAUUCACGCUGUCAGAGAGCUGGGAAGAUUAUUUUUUCAGUAACACUGCCUCCCCAACUCAGUGUAAAACAUAGCGGUUGAGGUUCGUGGUUAAUUUAUGAGAUUGUUUUAUAAUUUAAAAAUGAUUAUGACAAAUUAACCCAAAGUCGUGAACCAAUAAAGACUCCCAUAAAUCAAAUAAAAUCAAAGUGGAAAAAAAAACUGUAAUUAAUUUCCCUGUUAUGGUUUCAUAUGUACAGAUAUUAAGUUAUUUUGUGUUAAUAAUUUUACUUGAACAAAGUAUUCAUGGUGUAGUUUGCAUCCGAGUGCCGUAAAUGAUCAGCUUUGCAUGUAUCUGAUUGUAUGUUGUGUGAUUAUCUGUGAACUGUAAAGCCUGUAGCAUGUUAUUGAAUACUUGUAAUUAACCCUUUUGUAAGUCUUGGAAAAUAAUGCACACUUGUUUUCUAUUUCAGCUAGUUUUUCCUGGUUCUAAUACUGCGAGAUAACUUUAACGUGAGUGUUAAUUCAUGUGAGGAAAGAGUUAAAGUAGCACCGAAAAACACCAGUUUACAGUCAGACUAAGUUUUUUAGAUCUCAAUCUUAAAAUACACUUAAGUUUGUUUUUCAGGAGGUGUAAAAUACGUUCUACCUCCAUCGGUCAUAUAAAUGUUAUUUCAUCUCUGCAAAUAUUUAUUCAUAACCUGUCGGCUCAGUCUGUGAGUAAAAGGACGAUGUUUGAAACAUAAACGCCUCGAUCUUCUGUAUUCGUGUGUGCGUGUGUAUGUGGUUGGUUAAUCCCAAUUUAAGCAAAAGGUAAACAUGUUCUUCUCAGAGAUUAAAAUUAGCACUUUAUUAC